rnacentral:misc_RNA from 1 species
GUGAAUCAUCAAAUUUUUGAACGCAAAUUGCACUCUCUUCGGAGAGUAUGCCUGUUUGAGGGUUAGCCUAAAAAAAUUCGACUUCGUUGCUGUUUCCCGGUGGCUUUCGUCGGAAUUUGGGUUAUCUAAAAUCUUUGGUUUAAGCGACUUAAAAUUUCCUUUCCGAUCCCAUGACCGUUUCCAAGAUUUAUUUCUUUACACGUUAAAGGUAUCGAUUUUAUUAGGCGUGGUCGUCAUAUCGGAUCAUGUCCAUAAUUUUUCGUUAAUUGACUUCAGCAAGGUAAGC